UAAUUAUUACUUGUUAAGGAUAUAGUUUGACCUAAAGCACCAAUAGGAAGCCAGAGAGUUACGUGUUUGUGGCCACUCCUCUUCUCUCUCUCCGCCUUUCAGCGCCUUGGGUCUGUUAAAACGUAGCAAGUUGCCUGCUGCAGCCAUUUUUCCUAGUUUCCGUGGAUGUGAGGCACUUUAGUGGUCUCUCUCCAUAUAACGGGGUCCCUGGGAACAUUUUUAGUUCCCCUACCACCAUGCCUUAUGGUGUCUUUAAGAAAAUAUAUCAAGAUUUUUAUGUUCUGGUAGGCUUUUUCUGACAAGUCCUCCUUAUUUUUGGAUAUCUGUAAUAUUUUUAGACAGUUUUUCAUUUUUAAUGAAUAUUUCUUUGUCAUACAAUUUGGUUGACAUGUCUGUUUGGUGGACUUACCUUUCUUUCAUUCCAUUUCUAUAUUUUUGCCCAUCGGGGCCACGGAUACCUGUGUGUCCUCCUUCUCUUUCCUCUCACUCCAUGCCCAACGGGGCUGGGGAACUCGCCUGCCUUCUAAUUCUUUCUGUUCUUUUCUCUCUCUCUCCUCCUCCUCCUCUUCUUUUUAUUCUUAUAAACUUGCCCAUCCGGGCUGUGGAUACCUGCUUUUAUUAUUUUUUUUUUCCUUAGCCCAUCGGGGCCGUGGAUACCUGCUUUUUACAUAACCCCUAUCUCUUGGUCCAUCGGGACCUCGGAUACCUGCGUUUAGUCUUUUUCCUUGCCCAUCGGGACCUCGGAUACCUGCGUUUAGUCUUUUUCCUUGCCCAUCGGGGCCUCGGAUACCUGCUUAAUUUUUUUUUUCUUUUCUUUUUGCCCAUCGGGGCUGUGGAUACCUGCUUCAGUUUUUUCCAUUGCCCAACGGGGCAUUUGGUGGAUGGACGUAUGUUGGUUUUGUGAGUUAUUGCACUGUCUGGAAUAUCCAUACCUCUCUGCUUUCCGUCUUACUGUUGCUGAUCGUUUGGUGGUGUGUGAGUGAACCUAUGGCUUAGAAAAAUGACUUUGCGCUUAAGCUGAGUGGGUGUUCAGGGCGUGGAGGGUUUUGUGAGUUACUGCGCUAUCUGGAAUAUCCAUACCUCUCUGUUUUCCGUCUUGCUGCUACUGAUGCUGAUCGUUUGGUGGUGUGUGAACGAACCUAUGGCUUAGAAAAAUGACUCUGCGCUUAAGCUGAGUGGGUGUUCAGGGCGUGGAGAGCCCGUGUCCGCCAUCUUACAGUUGCUGCGUGACAUGGCCAUUCCCGAGCCAAUUACGGCAAGAAUUAGGGAGUCGAGGUGGACAGAGUGCUGGACAGAGGCAAGGAUGUGUGCUGCACCAGCUAAGGGCUUGAUAUGUGCGGGUUUGGACUUGAUUUGUGGGGCUUUUUAGUAAUAAUCACGGUAACCGGAAGUAGAAAACCACGGCGCGCUCUCGUUUGCGUGUCACGGUGUAUGUAAGGUGAAAGAAGCGGAGGACUUCGUGUUCGUGAGUGGUGUUAGGUGAAAGAAGCAGCGGAGGACUCCGUGUUCGUGUGUGGUGUUAGGUGAAAGGACCAGGACUUGGAGAUAGGGCUCGAAAUGGGCAUUUCGAUAUUCCUGGGGGGGUCUGCCCGGCUCCAGGGCGUGCUUGUUAAGGUCCGCAACAUGGCGGCCCGGGCACUGUACUCGACAGCCCAAUCUUUAGCCUAACAUGGAGCAUGGCGGAAGGGCAUUUAGGUUAUACAAGAGAAGAUGGCGGAUUGAGCUCUUGCUGCAGUAUAACGCAGCGGGCUUUUUUUUUUCAGGUGGCAACUUGGUGGCUGAGUUAGCCUAGGGGACAAUGUAGCACAUGCUCUUGAGCGUCAAGAUGGCGGUGUGUGUCACAUGAUCAACCCUCGCGGGCAUUUUUUUUAGUACAGCUUGGCGGGCUUUGUCCAGGCGUGGCAGCCUUUGUCCAGGCUUGCGGGCUUUGGCCAGGCUUGCGGGCUUUGGCCAAGGUGAACUUGGUGCAUUAAGAUGGCCAGUGGUUGGUUCUACCUUGUGCCACUCGAAGCCUAAUUAAUUGGAAGUGUUGGUUGCCUCUUGACUUAACUAGUCAAAAGUGGGUACUACUACGUGGUGUAGAGGAUGGAAGUAGUCCGUGACGAGUCACUGUCCUGCUUGAGUUACCUUGGCACCUCACGUCUGUCUUUAGUCAUCGUCAUUUGAAGUGUCUACCCGGGUGCGAGAGCACAUGCUCGUACUUCUAACAUUUGAGGUGUUGAAUGAUGAUCCAAUCUGAGACUUGAGGCCGGAGGGAGGUUCCUGAGGUUGAGGUCGAUGUGGGUUGUACAUUGAAAACCUCACCUAUAAAAGGAAGAGAAUCAGUGAUGAGGUCAGGUUAAAGCAUCUCUCCGAGGAUAGUGCCUAAGGUGACUUAAGACAGUCGACCCUCCUAUUUGCCUAAGAUGGUCUUUUGCAUUGCGCUAUAUAAGGCGGUGCAAAGCUAAGCCUCACCCCAUUCCUUUGUAUUGGUUCCGCUUGUAUUGGUUCCCCGGCUUAAGAACUGUCUACUCACUCCCCGGCCUCUUAUUGAGCCAGCACUGCGAUCUGAAGCCGUUCUCCAGGUCUGCGAUCUGAAGCCGUUCUCCAGGUCUGUGAUUUUAAGCCGUUUUCCAGGCCUGCUGUGGGCAGAGGGGUGACCCUGGCCAGAGUCAUAAUGGACUACAAAUAAAUCACUGGCCAAGACGUGGAAUCCUACCUUCCUCCAGAGGAUCAUCUACCCUAUGGCUAAUGCUAGGGGUAAAUUUUGAUUUACGUGAAUGUUUUGGAUGUCAGCAAUAAGUCUGGAUAGUGCGGUUUGCUAGUGCUUGAAUUUAAAGUUGGAGUGAUUAUUACAGAAAUGUAUUUAGAAGCUUUGUUUACUUGGAGAGUUCAUUUUAAUUACUUUUAAUGAGUUUUCACUCAGAAUUCUUAAAGUUUUUAGUUUCUUCUAAAUUCAUUAACUUUUUUGGCAGAUGAUACUCAAAUUAUUCGGCACUUAAAUUUACUUUCUUUCAUAAUGACCUAUUGAACUACUCUUAAAAUUCUUAAGAGUCGCUGGGCGGUGGCGGCGCACGCCUUUAAUCCCAGCACUCGGGAGGCAGAGCCAGGCGGAACUCUGUGAGUUCGAGGCCAGCCUGGGCUACAGAGUGAGUUCCAGGAAAGGCGCAAAGUCACACAGAGAAACCCUGUCUCGAAAAACCAAAAAAAAAAAAAUAAAUAAAAAUAAAAUAAAAAAAAUAAAAAAUAAAAAUCUUAAGAGUCUUAUGACACAGAUACUGUUAAUGUAAAGUAAAGUUAAUUUUGUGAUUGGCUCUCAAAGGGAGUAUUUGAAGAUCUACACCAGUCCAGGCUUUGCUUUUAUUGCCAUCUUUGAUGCUACAUUGACUAAUGACUUGACUUAUCAGGCAGGAGCCUUGAGUGGUCUGGUGUCCUCUAUCAGACUACUUACUAUUGGAAUAGUAACGCCCACAUUUGAACUUUCUAUGGUUUCUUGCCUUUGUAGCAUCCUUAUAUCCCCCCCGCAAACACUGAUGUCCCUGCCACAGCCCCAGCCCCUGGCCUAGCCCCAACCCAGCCCCGCCCAAACCCACCCCAGCCCCACCCAUGCCCAUGCCCUUGCCCCUGCCCCUGCCCCAGCCCCAGGCCCAAGCCAAUCCUACCCCAGCCCCAGGCCAGUCCUAGCCACAGCCCGGAUUCUCUCAACCCCAGCCCCAGUCCCAAAACCCACCCUAGAGACAUUCCAAUCUUUAUUGAUUGAGUGCUAAAAAUGCAGUGUCCAUAACUCAUCCUGGCAAACUGAGCUAUCCUGUCUUUAUCCCCUCCAUGCUCAUUGCCUGAGUCCCAACUUUCACUUAAUGGACACAGUCCUUCCUACUGGUACACGGACUCAAAGUAUCAUAACAAAGAACUCUGGUCCCUCAUGUUCAUCGAGAAAUGCCAACUGAACAAGAGUUUCAGUUCAGAGAAUUACCAUCAAGGCACCAUCUCCUAAAUCUCCUUUCUUUAAGGAAGGAAAAACCAUUCUGUCAUUGCUGCAGUCCUCACAGUCCCAACUUUCGGGGCAGUGCUCAGUAGCCUUUUCUCACACACUGUCUUGAGCACUCUUUGCACUGAGUAAAUUCUUAUUGAAUAUAAUUUGUCCACUGGAUUAGACCCCAGCUAGUCCAGCCCCAUUUGCGUUCAGCAGAGGGGCAGACACAAGUCUGUUAACAGACAGUUAAGGUGCUCAGUCCCAGUUCUCAAGGCCAUGAAUAUUAAGGGGCUACUAUAUCCCGCUGCAUGGCAUCAUGGGUGCUAUCACCCCACGUUAUAUCCUUUAAAUUGAUGGACAUAAAUUCAUUUGUCCAUGGUAGUGUGUACCAGUCCCAUCAGCUACCCUUAUUUCAGAUUGUAGACGAAAACUCUGCACUGGGACAGUUUAUGUGGAUAAUCCUGAUGAGGAAGUGAACCUUUUCUCAAAGUCCUUGUACAAACUUUAGCUUUACGUUAAGAGGGUGCUUAUUACCUAAAAUAAAGCCUCUUAUACAAUUGUGCAAAGCUCUAGUUGCUCAAGUCUGUACUAACCAAGAUCCCAUACCCUCACACCCCAAUGGGUGACAAUGGGGGCAAGGGGGCAACCGACAAGGCCCCCUUCUUUGUUCUGGUCUUUUGGCUGUGCUUGGGAUCAAACUAAGUCUUGCACGUGCUAGUAAAGCACUAUGCCAUGGAGCUACAGCUCCACCUUGUGGCUGUUUGAGGAUAAGCAUCUUUAUGUAGCUCGGGGCUGGCACUUAGUUCUUCUGCUUCUCAGUCCCAAUUACUGCAACUACAGGCAUUGCCACCACUUCUGCCUGUCUUUAUGUGCACAUUUGCAUUUGUCCCUCUUCCUGAGCAUUGGAUAAAGAAACCAAACUCAGUCAUUUCUUUAUUUAGCAAGACCUUUGAACUCAGAGUCAAUCUGUUCUGUUCUUAAUUUCCAGGCUGGCCCAGAACUUACUUAUAUAACCCAGGCUGGCCUUGAGCUCAGGAUCAAGCCUUUACUUCACAAGUGCUGGCAUAAUUGGUGUCUACCACCAUGGCCUGCAGUCUCUCAGGCUGUGAUGUGCAUACUUCAUUUUGCUGUAGUAGUUAGUAUGCACUGGGUAAAGACCUUAACCAUUCAUUUGUAUUGCGGCAGGAGGUUAACUAGUAUGUAAUUAAGAUCCUUAACAAGGUAUACGUGCACAGUGUUAAUUGUCUCGAACAUAUUAUGUCCACAGCCAUGCCUUUUAGAUCAGGACCCCUGUACAUACCAAAACAAAGAGGCUCACUAACACUAUAGUCUCUUUCCUGAAACUAUAGAAAUGAUUGCAAUAUUGCCAAUGGCCCUUCACUUAAUGGAACUAUGUGCUGUUCACUUAAUGCUUUCUCAACCUGCUAAUGUACAUAAUGGCAAUUUCAGAAGGAUUAGUUUUACUCUUACUUUGAAGUACAGCAGUGGUGUUGACCUAUAAGGUCCUAUUUUGUGGCUUGCUAAUAAUGUCUGAUUGUAUUUGUCCUUUUCUGUUUGCUACAGAAGGAAAUCAUUCCCCACCCUUAUGCCUUUCCCUUUCAUCAGGGAAUGCACAUUGCCAAAGAUCCUUAUGUCUGAACAGUCAAAGUAUAAAACUAUAAUGGCCACAAUCAUGCACCUUGAAUAUUAGUGGGCCAUAAAUGGCACAUGACUCAUUCCACUGAAUACUUCUCAGACUACUCUCGGACCCUUUUGCAGUACAGCAAGGGUCACUAAUCUCUUGACUUCUCCAUCUUCCUGGACACUGGAUAAGGAUAUCCUCUCCUUUCCACUGCCUUUGAUUCCCAGAAGUGUCCAUUACUUUAAGAUCUUAAUAUUUUAUAAAGGGUGUGGCUUUAAUUAACCACACUAUGUCCCUUGAACAUUAAUGUACUUAAUAGGGACAUGAUUCGUUCAUUUUAAUAAAAAUAUUUGGACAGUUAUCCACAACCUUAUUACUUUGAGGACCUUUGUAUCUCUUUUGCACUACUGCAAGGGAUACUGUUUUUCCCAAGGUCCCUGAUAGUGGACCAUUAAUACAGUGGAAAUUAUCUUUUGUCUUUGUCAGUAGACAAAGUUAUACUCUUUCAUUUGCAGUAUGGCAGGGUAUGCUGAUCAACCAAGGCUGCCUUCUUUUGGACUGUUAGUAUGCAUUGUAUGUUUUAUGUAUGAAUAUGCAUUUCCUCCUGCUCUGUGCACUAGAAAAGGAUCCCACUCACUUCCUUAUCACCUUCAGCGGGAAGUGGAAAGUUCACAUGCACAGUGUCUAAGCACUUCUUGUAUCAGAAACCUUGUACCCUCUUCCUCCGCUUUAAAGCAGAAAGAGGUUUUUACACUGUGCCGUUCAUUUGGACUUCAAUGUGCAUUAAUGCAGUUGUCCAUCCUUACCUUUGGAGUAGGAUUUACAUCCUUAUACUCCUUGACAUCAGAGGCAUGUUAACUUUUUUAGCACUUCUCUUAUUAUAUAUAUAUUUAUUAAUAUGUAUACUUAUACAUAUGGACUUGUGUGGCAGAAAAGGUUCCUAAGUUUCUACCUUUUGACUGGGGCUGCUGAGGAGUGGUUAAUUGUUUAUAACCUCAGCAUCUGGAUGAUUACAAUGCAACAAUGUCAGUGGUCGAGUACUGAUUACUAGUUGGACCUCUGUACUCUCUUUGCAUACCAUCAGGGAUACUGACCAACUAAGCCCCCGAAUUGUUAAUGUGCAUAUUUGUAAUUACAAAUGCCUAGAAUACUAUGUUCUCAUCCUCCCUUUGCAUUACUGCAGGGGCUGCUGAUCCAUCUAAAAUGUCUGGGACUGUUAAUGAGCACAGUGAUUAUGAUCAAUGGCUUAUUUGGGGACUAUUAAUAGGCACAAUGGCAGCUCUUGGUGGUUUAUUUUCUCCUCUCAUUGGCAUAGUAAAGUAAAAUAUUGCAGUAUGUCAAUGCUUUUUCCCCCCACAACGACCCAGAUUUCCAUCCCCUUUGCAUUUCCAGUACACAAAAUCCUAAAUGGCCACGACCUCAUACUUUACACAGUUUUCCCUCUGCCUGGCCCCUUGUCCAUGGGAUACUCUUAUUAUGACUGGCCUUCUCUUGACUUCAAGUCAGCAAGCCCAGAAGCCAUCAGUUACCCGCUUCCUAUGGCUGCAAUGUUUCAUUUGCACUCUCCUUGGUCCUACCCAUCGAACAGAAACACUUCCACUGCAUCAUUCUGUCAACUGCCCAAGGCACCUUGUGUGUCGUUAAUGAACACAGCAUUGAUUGAGACUACUUUGAUGUGUUUAUACACGUUAACUAUCAAAAGCAGGCCAAAACUUGGUGGAUGAACCUUCACUAUUUAGCUUGCAUUUCUUAAUUACUCCAAUUCCAAUUGCAUUCUAGGGCCAGGAAUCAUUCCAUUCCUGCCUACCUUUAUUAAUGCUUUACUGGGUAAAAAUAUUCCAGGCAAGUUGCUCAGGGAGCUGAAUUGCCACCUUUUAUUUGGGGCGUUCCUUGUACAGUAUCAAACUGAAAACUGUCUCCCAGAGAAGGAGGAGGAGCUAGCACUUUGUUUACAGUGUUCCUCCAGAAGCCAACUGCCUGCUUAAGAACCGCAAACUUGCUUCAUUUUUGUGUGUUGCUACUGUUCGAGUGCCAACUGCCAGAAAAGUUCUUGAUGGCUGAUUCCUUAAGAAAGGCGUUUGGACGGCAAGGUGGAACGGACUGUGCGAUCAUUAGCUUUUCUGAAGUAAAAAGAUCCAUUUCUAUUAUAUAUCUGAUGACCAGCGGUGUCUCUCAUUUCCUGAGGGUGGCGAGUCUGUGGACAGAUCACUCUAACUGUUGCUGUUCCAGUACCAUCAAAGCAGUUGUAGACCGCAAUGCUUAAGACCAGCAUGUCUGUUUGGUCUGCACUACCAGUUUAAAAACAAAAAUCAACCUUUGUGUGACCUUUAGUGUCAUUAUCUUCUAGGAAAAUGACCAAACUCUCUAAUCUUAAAAUUUGGUCAGACAUUGAACACCAGCCCCUACUUAUUUUAAAACGGUGGCUGUGAAUGGAUGAAAUGAGAGACGAUGUUAAGUUGCCUUUGAAAAUUCUAGGUCAUCACAUUUGAUUAAUUCACUAUUAUCUGCCAUUAAAUUCUGGCAAUAAUUUGAAGUAGCUUAAAAAAAAAAAAAAGAGCCACCCUAAAGUGGGAACUUUAAAAUGAUGGAGCCUGUUUCCCCCACUUACAUGUUAAAACAUAUAGGCCAAGAUCUCAUGAUUCUUUUGAGAGUAUACUUCAAAGAGAGAUCUGCCUAGUAAGAAGAGGGUUUUGCGGCCGCCGAGUAUUUAAGCUUUUUGAUUUUUGAUUUUUAACUAGUGUGUGUGGCUGUGGCUGUGUGUGUGUGUGCUCACAUGUGCACUCGAGUAUCUGUACAAGCAUUCACAUGGUGACCAGAGAGCAACUAGUUUUUCUAUCUUGUGGGUCCUGGCGAUCAAACUCCGAUCGUCAGGUUUGGCAGCACGUGCCUUUACCAUCUGAACCAUCUUGCCAGCCCACUGCUGAGCUUUUAAUGUGACAUUGCUGAUGAAAACAGGCAUCACAACAGCAGCAAUUCUUCAAAGUUACUGAAGAAAAAAAAAAAGAUACUAUUUUUCUGAGAAGGCUAUCAAGAAAUCCACCCAGUUCGCGAUCCAGCUUGAACUUCGGCUCUUCAGACAGCUACAAGUAUAGACUAGCUGUUUCAGACUACAGGAUGAAUUGGAGUUGGUUUUGUGCUCUGACUGAAGGAUGGCCUGGUUUUAGAGGGAUGAAUUCCAGACAGCAUCCAAAGGGACAAUCCCAGCAUGAGACUCUAGGAUUGCCAGCAGCUGAUACAGGCUUCAUUCAAAUUCAGAUCUUUCCUUUUGAGACUCCGGACAAGAAUAGCUAAUCUGAGCAAAUAACUUGCAGGCCACAUGGAGAAAAAGAUUGUCCCCCAGAAGUAUGGGUUUGUUGCUUUGCAGUGCUGGUGACCUAUUCCCUUUGACGAUCCCUAGGAGGAGAUGGGGCAUGAGGAUCCUCCAGGGGAAUAGCUCACCACCACUGGGCAACAGCCCUAACCCAGGGGGUUUUAGUGAGACACUUUGCUGAACCCAACAAGGAAGAUAGAGUCAAAGACAGCCACCCUACAUCAAAAUAGGAGAAAAGCUGCCACUGACUUCACGAGCAAGUCAUUCUGUUUCAUCUAGUUCUCAAAGCCUCCCUGGGAGCUCUGUAGGAGAACUUUACCAGCUGUUUACAUACCUCAAGAUUCAUUGUGCUACCGACGAGACAGAAUAUACCCUCCAUCUAGUAAAUCAUCACCCUUCCUCAAAGCAGCACAGGAAGCUGGGUCUUCGGAGGGAUCACAAAAUGUGAACACAGGAAAGGAAGUCAGCUUUACGACCCAAGGGUCAACAUGGCUGCCUCUUAACACAACAGAAUGAAUGUGUAUUGGGUUGUGUGUCUUCAUUGUUUCAUGCAUCUAUUUCUUCCUUGCUUUGUGUGUCCAAUUCUUCUUCAGUGUAUCCGUUUCUUCCUUGCUUUGUGUGUCCAAUUCUUCAUUCAUGUACAUCUAUUUCUUCUUUGCUUUGUGUGUCUAAUUCUUCUUCAGUGGAUCUGUUUCUUCCUUGCUCUGUGUGUCUAAUUCUUCUUCAGUGUAUCUGUUCCUUCCUUGCUUUGUGUGUCUAAUUCUUCUUUCAUGUAUAUCUAUUUCUUCCUCGCUUUGUGUGUCUAAUUCUUCUUAGAUGUUUCUGUUUCUUCCUUGCCUUGUACAUCUUCCUUCCUUCUUCUUCCUUGCUUUGUAUGUUUUCCUUCUUUCCUCUUCCUUGCUUUGUAUGUCUUCCUUCCUUCUUUUGUAUGUCUUCCUUCUUUGCUUGAUGUCUAUGUCUUCCUCAAGUGUCUCCUCCUCCUCCUCCUGUGUCUAUGGUGUGUCUUCUUCAAGUGUCUCCUCCUCCUUCUGUGUCUAUGGUGUGUCUUCCUCAAGUGUCUCCUCCUCCUUCUGUGUCUAUGGUGUGUCUUCCUCAAGUAUCUCUUCCUCCUCCUUCUGUGUCUAUGAUGUGUCUUCUUCAA